CCUACGGGUGGCAGCAGUCGAGAAUCAUUCACAAUGGGGGAAACCCUGAUGGUGCGACGCCGCGUGGGGGAAUGAAGGUCUUCGGAUUGUAAACCCCUGUCAUGUGGGAGCAAAUUAAAAAGAUAGUACCACAAGAGGAAGAGACGGCUAACUCAGUGCCAGCAGCCGCGGGAAUACAGAGGUAUCAAGCGUUGUUCGGAAUCACUGGGCGUAAAGCGUGCGUAGGCUGUUUCGUAAGUCGUGUGUGAAAGGCGCGGGCUCAACCCGCGGACGGCACAUGAUACUGCGAGACUAGAGUAAUGGAGGGGGAACCGGAAUUCUCGGUGUAGCAGUGAAAUGCGUAGAUAUCGAGAGGAACACUCGUGGCGAAGGCGGGUUCCUGGACAUUAACUGACGCUGAGGCACGAAGGCCAGGGGAGCGAAAGGGAUUAGAUACCCGUGUAGUC
rnacentral:rRNA from 1 species